GUCCCCGGUGCUGUGGCAGACAGUGAGAACACAGCUGUGAACAGGACCCCGCUCCUGCCCUGGGAGCUCAGUCUUAGAGGGAGGCAGGCAACUACUCACAGAAAUGCACACCCUGGGAGCCACACCACAGAGACACAACCGGGCCUGGUGUUUGCAGGAGAAAGUGACCUCUAAGAUGAGGCCUGAAGGACAAGGCCCCACGGAUGUUCCAAGGAAAGAGGAAAACAUUUGAAGCCGGAAGAAAGAGGACACAUAAUAGUCUGGGAACUGCAAAUAAUUCAGGAUGUCUGGACUCCAGAGUCCUUGGACGGAGUGACGAGAAAUGCUGGAGGGAUACUGAGGGCCCGGAAGAUGAAGGGCCUUGUGAGGCGCCCAGUGUUCUGACUCUGCCUUGAGGGCAGGAGAAGCCGCUGAAGCGGAGGAGCGGGCUGGAUCAGACGGCCUCUGUCAGGCCCAGGCACUCUUGCUGCAGUUGUCCUGGUCUCCUUAGCGCUGCCACCUCCCCCUCCAGCCCUUGGGUUUGGCCCCCACAGCACCAGCUACAGAACACGGUCCCCUCCAUCUCCUUGCUGCCCCCGCAGAAAAACACACAAGCCCUACUGUUUAAGAAUUGGUGUUUAUUUUUUCAAACUGCUAAUCCCUAAAAGGAGCCAGAAAAGGAUAAUAUAAUAGCUUGAGUUGUGGGUGGGGCUUGCGGUGGAGUGACUAAGGAUCCAGCACCUUCCAGGUACAGUCCCUGCCCCUAUCCCUGACUCUCCUGGUCAUAAAAUCUCCCCUUUCUCUUUUGUUCCCUGGGGUGGGCUUAAUAAACAGUCCCCAGACCUCAUUCUCCCACACACCUUAGAGUAGUGGCUCACAAAUUUUUUGACUGCUGACCAUAGAAAGACAUUUUACAGCAAGACCCAGUAGACACACACACGGGCACACAUGCACGCACACACGCAUGCAAACAAAAUUAAUUUCCUGAAAAAAUAUUACACUUUCUACAAAUGAGGUCCUCUAAUGUUUUCUAUCCUGGUCCAGUCUAUUCUUUCUUUUUCUUUUUUGGCCUGUCAUGACCACUAAAUUGAUUUCAAUAUCCACUAAUGGGCUGCAACCUGAAGUUUGAAAAACAUGACUUAGUGGCAGAACAAGCUGCGAGCUUUCCUGAGAGCACCCAUCUCCGGCCGAGGCGAUCCAGAGGAAGCCCACUUAUAACCACCCCAAGUUAUCAUCUACCUCUGCUGUUCAUCAUCUACCUCUCCUACUACAAUGCAAGCUCCAUGAGGACAAGGACUUUGUCUGCCAGCAUCCUAGGAGGAAGGAGUGAUCUUCAUUUCACAGAGGAAGAAACCAAGGUUCCAAGAAGUAAAGUAACUUGCUCAUCACACAGCUAGAAAGAGUUGAGAUUUCCUGAUUUUCUCAUCCUGAUGGAGACAAACUAUUUCCUCUCUGUUCCUCUCAACAAAAUCCUGAAAAGCCAAAGAAGAGGGGCCCAUCAAUUUUUUUCACCCAACUGCAGUGUCUGAGUAAAGUCAGGGAAAGUUACCCAUCAAAGCUAAACCACCUUCAUUUGCCCCAAGCUAUUUGGGGACAAUAUGAUUUGUUAAAUCUUAACUUCAACCUACAUUUCUUAAAAGAGGACUUAACUAUAGAUAUUAUAAUCUUCUUUUCAUCUUCAAAGCACUUGACGUAUUAACAAGUUAAAUUUCAGCAACACCCUUGAUUAACUCCUUUUUAUAGAUGUGGGAAAAGAGGCGUGGAAAUAAUAAAAAACACCCUUGGCUGUGACGGAAUCAGCAUUCCAAGGUAGGAUUAGAAUUUGAAAUUUCCUGUCUCCACCUUUCAUAAAACCAACAGACUAGUCUCCUACCUUGAUGCCUUCCUGGAAGGAUAUGAUUUGGCCAUCUCAUUCCUUACAUGCUUUUAAUAAUAGAGCUUUCUCAAAAGUGCCUAUUAUUUCUCCAGUGCUUUUUACAAUUCAUUCUGUAUGGCAUUAUGCCAUGACUUUAUUCACUUAUUAAAUUAAAGGAGUUAUUGGAAAAAGUGAACAAAAUGCCCAAUUCUUAUGGUUCCACUCAGCUCUCUUGCAUCUCCCCUUGGAGGCUAUUCUUAGACAUAUUGUCCGUUCAGGAAUCCAAGGUAAGCCAGCUUUAUCUGGCAAGUCCCCAAAGAUUUCUUCUUUCCAUAUGUCCAGACAGAAAGCUAAGCAGUAAUUCAAAGACAGAAAGGGGUCAGCAAUAACCAUUUUCACAGCUACCAGGCAGAAACUCAUUGUCAAUUUCAUCUUCAACACAAUUUCUCAAUCGUUUUAAUGUUAGAGGAAUCACUUGAAAUGUGAGAUUUAUGGGUGGCUGUUCCAGCCAGGUGAGAUUCUUGCUGACAGGUAUCAAACUGUUAUUAGAAUUCUGUGUUCUAAAUUAAAGGAGAAAACCUCUCUCUAAAUAUGUACUAGAGCCUUGCAAAGUUGUUGGAGGUGAGGUGGGCAUUAGAGAACCUUAGCUGAACUUGGCAGAGACUGAAUAACUUUAAGGACUCCCUUUCUAAGAAUGUAUUAGUCUUUCCUGGACUUGAUAGCUUUGGUAUAGUGCACAUAAGAUUUUCACUGUGACAAUAAGGACCUUACAUCAAAAUCCAGUCCUGAAAUUUGGUGGUGCUUGGAGGUUGCAUGAUUGGCCCCCUACCCGCCUAUCCCCCAUCUAAAUGAGAGUUAGCACAUUCAGCAGAAUAGCAUAGGAUUUGGCCUAGAAAACCCAGAUUUGAGCCUUGCCUCUGCUACCUACUAGUAAUGUGAUCAAUCAACCUUGCUAAGCUAUGGUUUCCUCACUAAAAUGGGAUAAUAAUGGUGAUACCUAUGUUACAUAAUUAUUGGGAAAACAAAAUAAAAAUAUUUUCUUCACUCUAAAGGUUUUUAUCAAUUUUAGUUAUUAAU